rnacentral:tRNA from 1 species
GGAGAGGUGGCCGAGUGGUUGAAGGCGCACGCCUGGAAAGUGUGUAUAUAAGCAAUUAUAUCGGGGGUUCGAAUCCCCCUCUCUCCGCCA